UGCUUGUCAUUCAUCCAGUAGAUCAGCCAUGGAGAAAAUCAACGAGGUGCAGUUCAAUUCCAUCCAAGUUGUAUGCUCUUCCAGUUAUUUCCUUUCAGGUUAUGUCGCUCACAAGGAUGCUUCCUUGCCCCAAAUUUGGCCUAGACCUGGAGAUCCCCCCGAAUCUUCAUACAUCAGAAAGGUGAUACUUCUUUAAUCUAAACAUCAGAAAGGUGACUAAAAUGAUUUCUAUUACUUUUGAAAUUCACAGCACCAAAAACAUAUUCAUGAAAUUAACUAUAUAUAUAUAUACAUACAGAAAGCAAUUAGCAUUCUUCGCCGGACAAAUCAACUCGCCAGUGCGGGCAGCUCUGGUAAAAAUAUGGAGAAAUGACACGGACAUAUUUGCUCACUUCGGGCGGUUCAAAAAACCAUAUGGAUACCAGCUAAUGAGGAGCAAGUUCU
rnacentral:lncRNA from 1 species